rnacentral:lncRNA from 1 species
UGUCACUGGGAUACCACCCAUAAACACAUAAAUAGGGAUCGACCCAUGAUAGGCUUAUGCCCUUGGGAUACCACCCGAUAAGAGAGAACUUCCAUCACUUAGUUCAAUUAAUCUUUGAGAUUGUUAUUUCGGUCGCCACCAUAUUUUUGAUACUUUGAAACAAUGAUACAUCAAUAGGAACCAAGUAAUAGACCUUCUAUACAAUAACGAUGUAAUAAAGACUCAUUGGUACAUCAACAAUGUGUUUCAGAAUCAUCAAUAUCACAACAAUGAAAUAGGAGCCUUUUGGUAUAUCAAUGAAACAUUUUGACACUUUAUAGGAUGGAAACAACUUCGUUGGUAACGUAGAACAAUACAUGUUUUUGGACAACCUCGGAAUCUUACUUGAUGGAACAUUGGUGUUUUCAUGCCAAAGAACAUUGUUAGAG